UACGUAGGGCGCAAGCGUUGUCCGGAAUUAUUGGGCGUAAAGAGCUCGUAGGCGGCUUGUCACGUCGAUUGUGAAAGCCCGAGGCUUAACCUCGGGUCUGCAGUCGAUACGGGCUAGCUAGAGUGUGGUAGGGGAGAUCGGAAUUCCUGGUGUAGCGGUGAAAUGCGCAGAUAUCAGGAGGAACACCGAUGGCGAAGGCAGCUCGCUGGGACGGUACUGACGCUGAGACGCGAAAGCGUGGGGAGCAAACAGG
rnacentral:rRNA from 1 species